rnacentral:rRNA from 1 species
UGGGGAAUAUUGCACAAUGGGCGAAAGCCUGAUGCAGCAACGCCGCGUGAGUGAUGAAGGCCUUCGGGUUGUAAAGCUCUGUCUUUUGGGACGAUAAUGACGGUACCAAAGGAGGAAGCCACGGCUAACUACGUGCCAGCAGCCGCGGUAAUACGUAGGUGGCAAGCGUUGUCCGGAUUUACUGGGCGUAAAGGAUGCGUAGGCGGAUUUUUAAGUGAGAUGUGAAAUACCCGGGCUUAACUUGGGUGCUGCAUUUCAAACUGGGAAUCUAGAGUGCGGGAGAGGAGAAUGGAAUCCCUAGUGUAGCGGUGAAAUGCGUAGAGAUUAGGAAGAACACCAGUGGCGAAGGCGAUUCUCUGGACCGUAACUGACGCUGAGGCAUGAAAGCGUGGGUAGCAAACAGGAUUAGAUACCCUGGUAGUCCACGCCGUAAACGAUGAGUACUAGGUGUAGGAGGUAUCGACCCCUUCUGUGCCGCAGUUAACACAAUAAGUACUCCGCCUGGGAAGUACGAUCGCAAGAUUAAAACUCAAAUGAAUUGACGGGGUC